GCCGGGCACGGUGGCGCAUACCUGUAGUCCCAGCUACUCGGGAGGCUGAGGUGGGAGGAUUGCUUGAGCCCAGGAGUUCUGGGCUGUACUGUGCUAGGCCAAUGGGGUGUCUGCACUAAGUUCAGCAUCAAUAUGGUGACCUCCUGGGAGUGGGGGACCACCAGAUUGCCUAAGGAGGGGUGAAAUCGGCCCAGGUCAGAAAUGUCGCAGGUCAAAACUCCCGUGCUGAUCAGUAGUGGGAUCGCGCCUGUGAAUAGCCACUGUACUCCAGCCCGGGCAACAUAGUAAGACCUCGUCCCU
rnacentral:SRP_RNA from 1 species